UUUCUGUUCAAGGAGCUGAAGACCGAUUCUCGAAGUUCGACACCGUUCUCCCGCUAUCGCCCCUCAAUACGCUGUCAACCUGAACCCGACGGUGACCUGCCAAGAAAAGGAUCUCGAAAAGGCCGUCGGCAAGUGGCUGACAAACUGCCGCGACCGUGACGGCCAGCGAUCAGACCGGGGGCGAGGCCGUCCGCCCGCCCAGUGACUUGUGUCUCGAUGAGCGCAGAAAGAAAUACAGGACUGUGCCUGAUGUAUGUUGUUUUUAUGGGAAUAAAGUGCUGGAAGGAA